GACGAACGCUGGCGGCGUGCUUAACACAUGCAAGUCGAACGGAAAGGCCCUGCUUUUGUGGGGUGCUCGAGUGGCGUACGGGUGAGUAACACGUGAGUAACCUGCCCUUGACUUUGGGAUAACUUCAGGAAACUGGGGCUAAUACCGGAUAGGAGCUCCUGCUGCAUGGUGGGGGUUGGAAAGUUUCGGCGGUUGGGGAUGGACUCGCGGCUUAUCAGCUUGUUGGUGGGGUAGUGGCUUACCAAGGCUUUGACGGGUAGCCGGCCUGAGAGGGUGACCGGCCACAUUGGGACUGAGAUACGGCCCGGACGCCUAAGGGAGGCAGCAGUGGGGAAUAUUGCACAAUGGGCGGAAGCCUGAUGCAGCAACGCCGCGUGCGGGAUGACGGCCUUCGGGUUGUAAACCGCUUUCGCCUGUGACGAAGCGUGAGUGACGGUAAUGGGUAAAGAAGCACCGGCUAACUACGUG
rnacentral:rRNA from 1 species